rnacentral:lncRNA from 1 species
UCACAUGUGUUAGGUUUGAUACAUUACAACCAUACCAUAGAAUAAUAAGAGAUGAAGUUUUAGGAAAUACUCACUCAACUCAUUUCAUAUAACUUAAAAAAUACUAAAACCGAAAGCUCAUACUAUCCAAAUCCAUACUACUAGACCAAUCAGAUUGAUUUACACUUAACUCAUUUUUAAAUACUUGUAAUUAUAUAUUACUAACCUAUAACUUCUAAACCAAAAAGAGUAUUGAUAUAGUUAAAAAUAAAGCAUAUUCUUUUUAUUUAAUUACAAAGGCACAUGUCUUAUUUUAAUUAAAAAAAUAAAUUGAAAGAAUAUACUACCAGGUUAUCCCUUUCUCUCAUUCGUUAUUCCUCACUUUUGUUUCACGGAAAGGUCUAAAACUUUCCAAUCUCUUCCUUCUUCUAUUUUUUAAGAAAUCACAACAAUAGUCUUUAUAACACCAAUCCAAAUCUAUUAAUUUAUUCUUUCACUCUACAAAGAAUCUACCACACUUUGUAAAUAGCAAGGAAAGAUCUUAAAGAAAAAAAAGGAGACAACAUACUAGUGCGAUGAUGUUUCACUCUGGUGUUCGGCGAUCGGAAGCUAUGAAGCGGUUGCGAGGCGGAUCCGUAGUGGAGCCUGGAGAUGCAUGGAUGGUCCGUGUGUGAAUCCGACAAGGAAUGACGCGAGCAUCUGCGGAGGUGUGUGGGUCGGUGCGAUUAUUUUCUAUCCCCAAUUUGGACAACACAAUAGCAAAAGAUCCAGGUGACCAUCUCCACUGAUAUUCAUGGCGGCGGCGGAGGUGACCCGGCGACAUCUUCAAUGUCUUUUAUUAUCACUUUAAGAACAACAGCAUGUAUCUCACCCAAACAUAUCUUCCAUCUCUGUUCUUCUCUCUGUGUUUUCCGAAGGUGAAGUUAAUACGAUUCAAUAUGUAUGGGGAUCGUUGGAUCUUAUGAGUUAUUUUCUGUCUUUGUUGUUAGUGUCACUGCAAGUGUUCUUCAUGUGGGCUUGUGGUCAAGGGUUGUGUAGUGGAUUUUUAGAAGAAUGAAGUGUGGUGUUAGUAUACGUGUUUUUCACCCCCCUCCCUGAUGCAUUCAGAGUUUUUUUUUAUAAUGGGAUAAUCUUCGAUGUUGAUUUAAUUCUUUGAUUUCUUCCACUCUUAAUUUUUAGAAAUUAUUUGAAUGUUUUGAAUUUUGAUAAAUGGUUGUCUAUACAUUGUUUUGGAAAGAUUUUGAUUUAUUUUGAAUGCUCAUGAAUGGAAUGUUUUGGAAAGAGAUAAACAGUAUAUUUUUAUAUUUAGA